CGAAAGGCUCAUUAAAUCAGUUAUGGUUCCUUAGAUCGUACCCACAUUUACUUGGAUAACUGUGGUAAUUCUAGAGCUAAUACAUGCAAACAGAGCUCCGACCGGAGACGGAAGGAGCGCUUUUAUUAGAUCAAAACCAAUCGGUGGCGGGUUCGCUCGUCAUCGUACAUUUUGGUGACUCUGAAUAACUUUUUGCUGAUCGCACGGUCUAGCACCGGCGACGCAUCUUUCAAAUGUCUGCCUUAUCAACUGUCGAUGGUAGGUUCUGCGCCUACCAUGGUUGUAACGGGUAACGGGGAAUCAGGGUUCGAUUCCGGAGAGGGAGCCUGAGAAACGGCUACCACAUCCAAGGAAGGCAGCAGGCGCGCAAAUUACCCACUCCCGGCACGGGGAGGUAGUGACGAAAAAUAACGAUACGGGACUCAUCCGAGGCCCCGUAAUCGGAAUGAGUACACUCUAAACCCUUUAACGAGGAUCAAUUGGAGGGCAAGUCUGGUGCCAGCAGCCGCGGUAAUUCCAGCUCCAAUAGCGUAUAUUAAAGUUGUUGCGGUUAAAAAGCUCGUAGUCGAAUCUGUGUCCCGCGCCGUCGGUUCAUCGCUCGCGGUGUUUAACUGACGUGUCGUGGGACGUCCUGCCGGUGGGCUUAGCUCGUUCGCGGGCGGCCCAACUUGAAAUCCCACCGCGGUGCUCUUCAUUGAGUGUCGAGGUGGGCCGGCACGUUUACUUUGAACAAAUUAGAGUGCUUAAAGCAGGCUAAAAUUUCGCCUGAAUAUUCUGUGCAUGGAAUAAUGGAAUAGGACCUCGGUUCUAUUUUGUUGGUUUUCGGAACCCCGAGGUAAUGAUUAAUAGGAACGGAUGGGGGCAUUCGUAUUGCGACGUUAGAGGUGAAAUUCUUGGAUCGUCGCAAGACGGACAGAAGCGAAAGCAUUUGCCAAAAACGCUUUCAUUGAUCAAGAACGAAAGUUAGAGGUUCGAAGGCGAUCAGAUACCGCCCUAGUUCUAACCAUAAACGAUGCCAGCUAGCGAUCCGCCGACGUUCCUCCGAUGACUCGGCGGGCAGCUUCCGGGAAACCAAAGCUUUUGGGUUCCGGGGGAAGUAUGGUUGCAAAGCUGAAACUUAAAGGAAUUGACGGAAGGGCACCACCAGGAGUGGAGCCUGCGGCUUAAUUUGACUCAACACGGGAAACCUCACCAGGCCCGGACACCGGAAGGAUUGACAGAUUGAGAGCUCUUUCUUGAUUCGGUGGGUGGUGGUGCAUGGCCGUUCUUAGUUGGUGGAGCGAUUUGUCUGGUUAAUUCCGAUAACGAACGAGACUCUAGCCUGCUAACUAGGCGUAUUUUCGACAUCCUAAAGGCCCGCCGGCCCGGCGUUCGCGUCGCGGUCGUGCGCGGUUUUUACUGUCGGCGUACAAACAAUUCUUCUUAGAGGGACAGGCGGCUUCUAGCCGCACGAGAUUGAGCAAUAACAGGUCUGUGAUGCCCUUAGAUGUUCUGGGCCGCACGCGCGCUACACUGAAGGAAUCAGCGUGUCCUCCCUGGCCGAGAGGCCCGGGUAACCCGCUGAACCUCCUUCGUGCUAGGGAUUGGGGCUUGCAAUUUUUCCCCAUGAACGAGGAAUUCCCAGUAAGCGCGAGUCAUAAGCUCGCGUUGAUUACGUCCCUGCCCUUUGUACACACCGCCCGUCGCUACUACCGAUUGAAUGAUUUAGUGAGGUCUUCGGACCGGUACGCGGCGGCGCUCCCGCGUCGCCGAU
rnacentral:rRNA from 1 species